UGAGACGACAUUCCGCUUGACAUUUCUUUUCCUUCAAGACGCCGUCCGAGAAGGUUACCUUAGCCAUUGGCUUAUGGCGGGGCAUUUUCUUUCCUCACAUUUUUCACUGUCUGGUGUGAGCUUCUUCAUUGCAUUACGUGCACGUGAUCGCUGCCUCGUCAUGAAGAGGGUCUCUACUAUUUUGCAAGACAACUAAGAUGAAAAGAGGAAAUUUGAAAAGGUUUCCUUGUUCAGUUUAUGAGCUGUUAAUGGUGUUGUCUGGUGUUCAGUUGAGAGAUGCCUUGAGAUGGAUGAUCAACUGCUGCUGAGCCUCUUAGUCAUAGUCUUUUUGGACGCGGAGAAUGGAGACGCUGGCCGAGUACGUUUAACUUGGCCAUUGCAGGCAACUUUCUCUCUUGACAUGGGAUCAUGGCUUGUAACUUAAACUUGCAUGGUUAAUUGCUAAUGGUCUGCUGUUCAUUUUCUCCAAAAUGUCAUCUCUUGGUUUAUGUUGCACGUUUCGUCACAUUCAGUACUUUAGAAUAUCUUGUGGAGUUUAAAAGCUUCUUUAUUGCUUUACGUGUACGUGGUCAUUGCCGUUUAAUGAAAGUUCUCUAAGAGGGUCUACUACAUUGCAAGACAACAUCGUGAUGGAAAUAGGAAAUCUAAAAUGGAAAAGUAAUAAUUUAAAUCAUGGAAAUCUUAAGUGUAUGAUCGCCUUAACUGUUAAGUUUCCAUGGUCAGUUUGAUGUUUGAGCUGGUUUGCUGUGGCUGUUUGGUGUGCAGUGAUCUUGCAGGAGAAAUGCGUUAAAAAGGGAUUAAGUGCCGCAACAAGUUGGCAACAUGGCAAUCUUAUGCUACUGAGCCUGACGCCGUCUUCUAAGGAAACUGUCAGUUACAUUGUUCGUGCGGUCGACUUCAAAAUUCUUCACAAAUAUCUCAAAGGAUUAAUGGUUUGGUGAGACUGAGCUUUUUCAUGGUGGUCGAAAGUUCACAUGGAGCCAACUGGUGAAGGGUGUGGUGAGGUGUUACAUCAUGACUGUGCUGGUGUGGGGAAGUGCUGCAUGCCAUCUGUGGUGUUGGUAUGAAAUAUUUUUAUUGC
rnacentral:lncRNA from 1 species